AUUGAACGCUGGCGGCAUGCUUUACACAUGCAAGUCGAACGGUAACAGGGAGCUUGCUCCGCUGACGAGUGGCGAACGGGUGAGUAAUGCGUCGGAACGUGCCGAGUAGUGGGGGAUAACGCAGCGAAAGUUGUGCUAAUACCGCAUACGUACUGAGGUAGAAAGUGGGGGACCUUCGGGCCUCACGCUAUUCGAGCGGCCGACGUCUGAUUAGCUAGUAGGUGAGGUAAAGGCUCACCUAGGCGACGACCAGUAGCGGGUCUGGGAGGAUGAUCCGCCACACUGGGACUGAGACACGGCCCAGACUCCUACGGGAGGCAGCAGUGGGGAAUUUUGGACAAUGGGCGAAAGCCUGAUCCAGCCAUGCCGCGUGUCUGAAGAAGGCCUUCGGGUUGUAAAGGACUUUUGUCGGGGAGGAAAUCCCCAGCGCUAAUACCGCUGGGGGAUGACAGUACCUGAAGAAUAAGCACCGGCUAACUACGUGCCAGCCGCCGCAGUAAAAC
rnacentral:rRNA from 1 species